GAUCCUGGCUCAGAUUGAACGCUGGCGGCAUGCCUUACACAUGCAAGUCGAACGGCAGCACGGGAGCUUGCUCCUGGUGGCGAGUGGCGAACGGGUGAGUAAUACAUCGGAACGUACCCUGAAGUGGGGAUAACGUAGCGAAAGUUACGCUAAUACCGGCAUAUUCUGUGAGCAGGAAAGAGGGGGAUCGCAAGACCUCUUGCUUUAGGAGCGGCCGAUGUCGGAUUAGCUAGUUGGUGAGGUAAAGGCUCACCAAGGCGACGAUCCGUAGCGGGUCUGAGAGGAUGAUCCGCCACACUGGGACUGAGACACGGCCCAGACUCCUACGGGAGGCAGCAGUGGGGAAUUUUGGACAAUGGGCGCAAGCCUGAUCCAGCCAUGCCGCGUGAGUGAAGAAGGCCUUCGGGUUGUAAAGCUCUUUCGGUGGGGAAGAAAUUGCUUCGGUUAAUACCUGGAGUAGAUGACGGUACCCGCAUAAGAAGCACCGGCUAACUACGUG
rnacentral:rRNA from 1 species